AAAGAACCUACAUUGAAAUAUUGAGGGCAGGUUCCACCUAUACUUCUUUCAUGGAUUUACUUAUUUUUUAUUUGUCCCCCUCUGUAUCCUAGAAACUCCUGGAGGGCAGAGGCAGGCCUGCCAUCUUCAUCAUUGCAUUACCACCACCCAACACUAUCGGGGGACCUGCCCUGAUAAUCAGUCUACAGGUGUAUUCAGCAGCUCCAGAGAGACAGCGACCAGCGAGAAGGGGCCAUGAUGAUGGUGGUGGUUUUGUCAAAACGAAAAUGGGGAUAUGUAGGGAAAAGAAAGAGAGAUCAGACUGUUACUGUGUCUACAUAGAAAGGGAAGACAUAAGAGACUCCAUUUUGGAAAAGACCUGUACUUUAAAGAAUUGCUUUGCUGAGAUGUUGUUAAUCUGUAGCUUUGCCCCAGCCACUUUGCCCCAACCACUUUGACCCAAUCUGGAGCUCACAAAAACAUGUGUUGUAUGAAAUCAAGGUUUAAGGCAUGUAGGGCUGUGCAGGAUGUGUCUUGUUAACCAAAUGUUUGCAAGCAGUAUACUUGGUAAAAGUCAUCACCAUUCUCUCGUCUCAAUAAACCAGGGUCACAAUGCACUGUGGAAAGCCGCAGGGACCUCUGCCCUUGAAAGCUGGGUAUUGUCCAAAGUCUCUCCCCAUGUGAUAGUCUGAAAUAUGGCCUCGUGGGAUGAGAAAGACCUGACGGUCCCCCAGCGCGACACCCAUAAAAGGUCUGUGCUGAGGUGGAUUAGUCAAAGAGGAAAGACUCUUGCCGUUGAGAUAGAGGAAGGCCACUGUCUCCUGACUGCCCCUGGGAACUGAAUGUCUCGGUAUAAAACACGAUUGUACAUUUGUUCAAUUCUGAGAUGGGAGAAAAACCGCCCUAUGGUGGGAGGCGAGACAUGUUUACAGCAAUGCCGCCUUGUUAUUCUUUACUCCACUGAGAUGUUUGAGUGGAGAGAAACAUAAAUCUGGCUUACAUGCACGUCCAGUCAUAGUACCUUCCCUUGAACUCCAUUAUGACAUAGAUUCUAUUGCUCACAUGUUUGUUGCUGACUUUCUCCUUAUUAUCACCCUGCCCUCCUACUACAUUCCUUUUUGCUGAAAUAAUGAAGAUAAUAAUCAAUAAAAAACUGAGGGAACUCAGAGGCUGGUGCCAGUGCAGGUCCUUAGUAUGCUAAGCGCCGGUCCC
rnacentral:lncRNA from 1 species